rnacentral:rRNA from 1 species
UGCGUAGGCGGGGCAAUUAGUCAGUGGUGAAAUCCUGCGGCUUAACCGUAGAACUGCCAUUGAUACUGUUGCCCUUGAGUAUAGUUGAAGUGGGCGGAAUAUGUAAUGUAGCGGUGAAAUGCAUAGAGAUUACAUAGAACACCAAUUGCGAAGGCAGCUCACUAAGCUAUCACUGACGCUGAGGCACGAAAGCGUGGGGAGCGUACAGGAUUAGAUACCCUGGUAGUCC